rnacentral:rRNA from 1 species
CCUACGGGAGGCAGCAGUGGGGAAUAUUGCACAAUGGGGGAAACCCUGAUGCAGCGACGCCGCGUGAGUGAAGAAGUAUUUCGGUAUGUAAAGCUCUGUCAGCAAGGAAGAAAAUGACGGUACCUGACCAAGAAGCCCCGGCUAAAUACGUGCCAGCAGCCGCGGUAAUACGUAGGGGGCAAGCGUUAUCCGGAUUUACUGGGUGUAAAGGGGGCGUAGACGGGAGGGCAAGGAUUGAGUGAAAGGCGGGGGCUCAACCCCCGGACUGCUGUGGAAAAUGCCAGGCUUGAGUGCAGGAGAGGUAAGUGGAAUGCCUAGUGUAGCGGUGAAAUGCGUAGAUAUUAGGAGGAACACCAGUGGCGAAGGCGGCUUACUGGACUGUAACUGACGUUGAGGCUCGAAAGCGUGGGGAGCAAACAGGAUUAGAUACCCUUGUAGUC